rnacentral:rRNA from 1 species
CUUUGUAUACCUUACCUUUUGUUGCUUUGGCGGGCCGCCUAACGACUGGCUUCGGCUGGUAAGUGCCCGCCAGAGGACCCAAACCCAAACCCAGUUAUAGUGUCGUCUGAGAAAAAAGUUUAAUAUUUAAAACUUUCAGCAACGGAUCUCUUGGCUCUGGCAUCGAUGAAUAACGCAGCGAAAUGCGAUAAGUAAUAUGAAUUGAAGAAUUCAGUGAAUCAUCAAAUCUUUGAACGCACAUUGAGCCCCUUGGUAUUCCGAGGGGCAUGCCUAUUCUAGCGUCAUUAUCACCCCUCAAGCUCCGGCUUGGUGUUGAGGCCUGCUGUAAAGGCACCCUCUAGAAUCACUGGCAGUGCCGUCAAGCUCUAAGCGUAUGAAUUUCAUCGCUAUAGACCCGAGCGGACCCUCGCCAGAAACCCCCCAUUUUUUAAUGAUUGACCUCAGAUUAUGUAGGGAUACCCGCUGAACUUAAGCAUAUCAAUAAGCGGAGGAAUUCGCUGGAGCUCACAAACGUCUCUCCUCGGCGAGGACGGCUUUUCGAACGUUUGAUCUCAAAUCAGGUAGGACUACCCGCUGAACUUAAGCAUAUCAAUAAGCGGAGGA